AGAUGACAGACACUUCUCAAAAGACAGCUUUUCUUCCUGGAGAACAGACUUUUUCAGCAGGAUUUUCCUUUCAGUGAAACAUAAUUUGACUUGAAAGGAACCCAGGGAAAAGUGUCCAGGUGUGAGCAUGAGCGGGUAGAGGUGUGCCCUUGUUUGCUUCAGGCUGUCUGCUUUUCGCCCCUGACUGUUUUUUCUGUUUCUGGCCAUGGAGGAAGAGAAAGAUGACAGCCCACAGGCUGACUUCUGCCUGGGCACCGCCCUGCACUCUUGGGGACUGUGGUUCACGGAGGAAGGUUCACCGUCCACCAUGCUGACGGGGAUUGCAGUUGGAGCCCUCCUGGCCCUGGCCUUGGUUGGUGUCCUCAUCCUUUUCAUGUUCAGAAGGCUUAGACAAUUUCGACAAGCACAGCCCACUCCUCAGUACCGGUUCCGGAAGAGAGACAAAGUGAUGUUUUACGGCCGGAAGAUCAUGAGGAAGGUGACCACACUCCCCAACACCCUUGUGGAGAACACUGCCCUGCCCCGGCAGCGGGCCAGGAAGAGGACCAAGGUGCUGUCUUUGGCCAAGAGGAUUCUGCGUUUCAAGAAGGAAUACCCGGCCCUGCAGCCCAAGGAGCCCCCGCCCUCCCUGCUGGAGGCCGACCUCACGGAGUUUGACGUGAAGAAUUCUCACCUGCCAUCGGAAGUUCUGUACAUGCUGAAAAACGUUCGGGUCCUGGGCCACUUUGAGAAGCCGCUGUUCCUGGAGCUUUGCAAACACAUCGUCUUUGUGCAGCUGCAGGAAGGGGAGCACGUCUUCCAGCCCAGGGAGCCGGACCCCAGCAUCUGUGUGGUGCAGGACGGGCGGCUGGAGGUCUGCAUCCAGGACACUGACGGCACCGAGGUGGUGGUGAAAGAGGUUCUGGCGGGAGACAGCGUCCACAGCCUGCUCAGCAUCCUGGACAUCAUCACCGGCCAUGCUGCACCUUACAAAACGGUCUCCGUCCGCGCGGCCAUCCCGUCCACCAUCCUCCGGCUUCCAGCUGCGGCUUUUCAUGGAGUUUUUGAGAAAUAUCCGGAAACUCUGGUGAGGGUGGUGCAGAUCAUCAUGGUGCGGCUGCAGAGGGUGACCUUUCUGGCUCUGCACAACUACCUCGGCCUGACCACAGAGCUCUUCAACGCUGAGAGCCAGGCCAUCCCUCUCGUGUCUGUAGCCAGUGUGGCUGCCGGGAAGGCCAAGAAGCAGGUGUUCUAUGGCGAAGAAGAGCGGCUUAAAAAGCCACCGCGGCUCCAGGAGUCCUGUGACUCAGCAGAUCACGGGGGCGGCCGCCCGGCAGCUGCUGGGCCCCUGCUGAAGAGGAGCCACUCCGUCCCCGCGCCUUCCAUUCGCAAACAGAUCUUGGAGGAGCUGGAGAAGCCCGGGGCAGGUGACCCUGACCCUUCGGCCCCACAAGGGGGCCCAGGCAGUGCCACUUCUGAUCUGGGGAUGGCAUGUGACCGUGCCAGGGUCUUCCUGCACUCGGACGAGCACCCCGGGAGCUCCGUGGCCAGCAAGUCCAGGAAAAGCGUGAUGGUUGCAGAGAUACCCUCCACGGUCUCCCAGCACUCAGAGAGUCACACGGAUGAGACCCUGGCCAGCAGGAAGUCGGAUGCCAUCUUCAGAGCUGCCAAGAAGGACCUGCUCACCCUGAUGAAGCUGGAAGACUCAUCUCUGUUGGAUGGCCGGGUGGCGCUUCUGCACGUUCCUGCAGGCACGGUGGUGUCAAGGCAGGGAGACCAGGACGCCAGCAUCCUGUUCGUGGUCUCGGGGCUGCUGCACGUGUACCAGCGGAAGAUCGGCAGCCAGGAGGACACCUGCUUGUUCCUCACGCGCCCCGGGGAGAUGGUGGGCCAGCUGGCCGUGCUCACCGGGGAGCCUCUCAUCUUCACCGUCAAGGCCAACAGGGACUGCAGCUUCCUGUCCAUCUCCAAGGCCCACUUCUAUGAAAUCAUGCGGAAGCAGCCGACCGUCGUCCUGGGUGUGGCGCACACUGUGGUGAAGAGGAUGUCGUCCUUCGUGCGGCAAAUCGACUUUGCCCUGGACUGGGUGGAGGUGGAGGCCGGGCGAGCAAUAUACAGGCAGGGGGACAAGUCCGACUGCACGUACAUCAUGCUCAGCGGCCGGCUGCGCUCUGUGAUCCGGAAGGAUGAUGGGAAGAAGCGCCUGGCCGGGGAGUACGGCCGAGGAGACCUCGUCGGCGUGGUGGAGACACUGACCCACCAGGCCCGGGCGACCACGGUGCAUGCCGUUCGGGACUCAGAAUUGGCCAAGCUGCCGGCAGGAGCCCUCACGUCCAUCAAGCGCAGGUACCCACAGGUGGUGACUCGGCUGAUUCAUCUCUUGGGUGAGAAGAUCCUGGGCAGCCUCCAGCAGGGACCUGUGACAGGGCAUGUCCUGGCCAACGUUUGUGGAGUGUGGUUUGAACGUGAACUGACCCUGGUCUGCCUACUAGGUGCUGCCCAGGCCCAGUGUGAAGGCUGCAUUCUGCGCCAUCUUCAGCUCUCAGACCCGAACACCUGACCCUGGCACAGGCUGCGUCUUCAUUACAGAUUCGAGGCUUUCUUGAUCUCCUACCUCUAGUUGGCAGGAGAGAGCCACGUUCGGGCCGAAGCUCGGGACGAGACAUCAGACCGCGAGAGCCGCGUUCGGGCCGAAGCUCGGGACGAGACAUCAGACUGCAAGUGAAGCUCGGGACGAGACAUCAGACCACGAGAGCAGCGUUCAGGCCGAAGCUCAGGAUGAGGAGGCGGUUCUCCGUCUUUCUGUGCUCAGCAGCACUUUGGUGUGUGUGUGCAUUGUUUGUUUGCUAUCUGGGAGUUAUUUCCUCCUGAUUAUAGAAGCCACCUGCCUUCCACUCAGCGCCUAGAGGCGGAGACACAUCAUCUGGGCCUGAGUCCCCCGCUCCUCCCGUGUGGCCAAGGCUCAGCUGCAGUGAGGGGCUGAAGUGCGUGCGGUGAAGGUGAUGCUGGGGACACCUCGCAGGGCGUGCCAGGUUGUGGUGGUGGCCCAGGCUCCUGAGAUGCCCCUGACAGGCAGGUGGAGGCUGGAUGGGACGGCCUCUCGGGGGCCAGCUGGGGUUGGGUAGAACUGGAGGCUCUGUGGCUGGCACAGCCGGUUCCGUGCCGGUGUGGCUGGUUCCCCCAGAGGAGCAGAGGCUGCCAGGAGGAACACGUGUGGAGGGUUUUAUUUUGCUUCAUUUUUCUUGUCUGUCAUUGUGGAGUUUUAUCACAAAGGCUGUGUAGGCUGCAAAAAGACCUAAGAGCCCCCAGGCACGAGAUGAAGACGUGGGCGCCUCCCUCUUACAGCUGCUCAGGUGGUGCUGAGGCGCCAGUGCCCCGGUUCUUUUCCUGCACAGACACAGCUGCACAUGCGUCAGGCAGGGUCCUUUACUGGGGCUGCCGGUUUGGGUAUUUACUCCAGGGCUGGGGUCCCCUCCAGGGGUCCAUGAGCCCCACGGCGACACUUGGCCAGCCCUGCACUCCAGGCCGGCACUUUGGGCCACUCAGCUCCAAGCGCUUAUCCCGACCAGGGCCCGGUGUGGAUGCCUCUGCACGUCUCCAGCGCUGCUUGGUCACAGCCCUUGGCAGAAGCUGGGUGCGGUCUGUGAACAGCUGGGGAUGCAGCUGGGCUUUGCAACCUCCAGGCAGAGAUGGGCACUGGACACUGAGCCCUUGGCAGCCGGUGCGCAGCACGCAACCGUCCAUCCCUGGCUUACCUGCUGGGGCCAACCAAGCACUGGGCCCUGUCGGAAGCUGGCACCGUGCUCAGGAAGCCAGUCAGGAAAGAACCUUCUCCUAGAGCUGCAGUCGAGUUGGGUCAGGGAUGAAAUUGGACCAAGAAGGCAAAAGAGAUGGCUCAGAAGGGCGGGGGGAGGGGCAGGGGCACGCAGGUGGUGGGGCAGCGCUCCCUGAGGAGGUCAGGACCCUUGGGGCCAGGAAGAGAGCUGUGUGGUGUGGGGGUCACCAGCAGCUCUCAGGGACCGCAGAUGGGCUGAGGCUGCAGACUCUGGCUUGUUCUGAGUGGGGAGGGGCACCAGGGGCUUUGAGCAAAAAAGGCUCCGGGCAGACUUGGGCGUCGAAGGCCAGCUCCGGCCACUGUGCACAGAGCGUCCUCUCAAGCAGGCGGCUGAAGCCACCCCAAGGCUGGGCGGUGGAGGCCCAGGGCUCCCGGUGCUGAGUUGGACUGAGGGCGGGGACUGAGCUUUGGUGGGUCGGGUAGGAGCCUGGGGCCGGAGGUGGGGGCCGAGUCCGAGGGAGGAUCUGGGGCUGUGUGAGUCUUGGACACUCAUUCGGGAUGUGGGAUGGGCAGCAUCAUUUAUCUGUUUCUGCCUGCAUACAGGUACGGGUGUUUUUCUUUUGGGAGGCCUUGAGUAUUUAUUUAAUAAUGGAAUCACAUUUAUAAACCACUCUGCAGCUUUCCUGCUCAGCAGCACGUCAUCAGCUAUUUUCCUGUGAGCACAUGAUUGCCGGCUGUGCGCUGGUUCUCCGAGCCAUGUUCCCCGUUCACAGGCUCUUACCCGCAGUGCUGCCACGGCGCCGUGUGCAUCCCAGGAUCUUGCAGGUGUCCGCUGGCCGCCGUCUGCAGGGAGUGGCCCUUAAGCCCUCACUUGGUUCUGUGUCCCCAGGCUUGCUCUCCUGGCCUCUUCCCUCACCAUGCCGCGUCCCCUUACUCUGACCUUGGCCAAUCAGGACCUGCGUGUCUGGUGGAUUUUGGAAGCCACCUCACUGGGGACGGGAGACAUAGGCCAGGGGACAGCCUGUGAGAGGGCUGGGCCACGGGGACUGCAGAGGAGGAGCAUCCACGGCACCUAGAUGCAGGAGACCCUCGUGGGCAGGAGCGUGGCUGGUGGCGCGGUGGCCUCAGGAGCAGUGAGGCCGUCCCCUCAACCUCUUCUGUGGAAGCAGAGAUGCCACUCGCCAGACGGCAUCCAGUAAAGAGGGCCUGGGACCCUCUGGGGGACUCUCAAGUCCCAGACCCCCUGGUCCAUGUCCUUGCCACUGUGCUGGCCGAGGGGCCCCUCAGCCCACAUGGGGCCCAGGGAGAGGGUCCUGCCUGUCUGGGCGGGCCCCUUGGUGGGCCCUGGAGGCUCCAGUCUCAGGGAGAGGAAAGCCUGGUCUGCCUUGACACCCUCACUCGCGUCUCCGGGGUCUCCAGGGCCUGGCCCAGGCUUCCCAGGGCUGCGCUGUGCUUCCUUGGUUUCUGGAAUCCCUUGCAGAUGACAGACAAGAGAAACGGGCCUAUUGAUGUCUAGCCCGUGUGUUGUUUACUGUUCCUGGAGUGAGUGGUGGAAAGCCCUGCGACGAUUGGUUCAGAGGAUAAGGCCUCACCUGGAGAGUAUGUCUUGUUUACUCCGAUGAGGCCUCACCUGGAGAGUGUGUCUGGUUUACUCCAAUGAGGCCUCACCUGCAGCGUUUGUCUGGUUUACUCCGAUGAGGCCUCACCUGCAGCGUUUGUCUGGUUUACUCCGAUGAGGCCUCACCUGCAGCGUUUGUCUGGUUUACUCCAGUGAGGCCUUACCUGCAGCGUUUGUCUGGUUUACUCCGAUGAGGCCUCACCUGCAGCGUUUGUCUGGUUUACUCUGAGCCUCACAUUCCUUUCAGUCGCUCCGUGAAUCACUGUCUUUGGUGGGUCAGGAGGAAUCCACUCCCUGGGCCUGGGCCUGGACCAGUGCUGGUCAGACCUGCUGUGUGGGGCCUGGGGACGCUUGCAGGUGUGGACUGGCAGCUCAUCAGGAAGAGCUGGGGAAGGCGUGAGACCAAGACAGCCUCCGGCCUGGAGAAGGCGUGAGGCCUAGGCAGCCACAUGGCUGGGGACAGCGUGAGGCCCA